CCCAGACUCCUACGGGAGGCAGCAGUGGGGAAUAUUGGGCAAUGGGCGCAAGCCUGACCCAGCAACGCCGCGUGAAGGAAGAAGGCUUUCGGGUUGUAAACUUCUUUUAAGAGGGAAGAGUAGAAGACGGUACCUCUUGAAUAAGCCACGGCUAACUACGUGCCAGCAGCCGCGGUAAUACGUAGGUGGCAAGCGUUGUCCGGAUUUACUGGGUGUAAAGGGCGUGUAGCCGGGCCGGCAAGUCAGAUGUGAAAUCCCAAGGCUCAACCUUGGAACUGCAUUUGAAACUGUUGGUCUUGAGUAUCGGAGAGGCAGGCGGAAUUCCUAGUGUAGCGGUGAAAUGCGUAGAUAUAAGGAAGAACACCAGUGGCGAAGGCGGAUGACUGGACGGCAACUGACGGUGAGGCGCGAAAGCGUGGGGAGCAAACAGGAUUAGAUACCCUAGUAGU
rnacentral:rRNA from 1 species